rnacentral:rRNA from 1 species
CGAACGGGUGAGUAAUGCGUGACCAACCUGCCCCAUGCUCCAGAAUAGCUCUUGGAAACGGGUGGUAAUGCUGGAUGCUCCAACUUGACGCAUGUCUUGUUGGGAAAGUGUUUAGUGGCAUGGGAUGGGGUCGCGUCCUAUCAGCUUGUAGGCGGGGUAAUGGCCCACCUAGGCUUCGACGGGUAGCCGGCCUGAGAGGGCGGACGGCCACAAGGGGACUGAGAUACGGCCCUUACUCCUACGGGAGGCAGCAGCC